rnacentral:misc_RNA from 1 species
GCGUCACCCCGGACAAGUCGC